rnacentral:rRNA from 1 species
UCCGUAGGCGGGCAAUUAAGUCAGAGGUGAAAUCCCACAGCUCAACUGUGGAACUGCCUUUGAUACUGGUUGUCUUGAGUUACAGUGAAGUAGAUAGAAUAUGUAGUGUAGCGGUGAAAUGCAUAGAUAUUACAUAGAAUACCGAUUGCGAAGGCAGUCUACUAACUGUAUACUGACGCUAAUGGACGGAAGCGUGGGGAGCGAACAGGAUUAGAUACCCUGGUAGUCC